rnacentral:rRNA from 1 species
GACGAACGCUGGCGGCGCGCUUAACACAUGCAAGUCGAGCGAAGCGGCGGAAGGGUGAGUAACACGUGAGUAAGCUGCAUUAGAAAUUGAGAUAGCCUCGGGAAACCGGGAUGAAUACCAAAGGGUCUAAGAUGGACUCGCGUCGCAUUAGAUAGUUGGUGAGGUAACGGCCCACCAGGGCGACGCUGGGUAGCCGGCCUGUGAGGGUGGACGGCCACUUUGGAACUAGGCAGCAGUCCGCACUCUGCGGGAGGCAGCAGUGGGGAAUAUUGCACAAUGGAGGGAACGCUGAUGCAGCGACGCCUGGUGAGCAAAUAAGGCUUUCGAGACGUAAAGUCCUUUUAUAUGGGAAGCGGUACCAUAAGAAAAAGCCCCGGCUAACUACGUGCCAGCAGCCGCGGUAAUUC